AGGAAUAGAUCAGCUCGAAGAAAAAUAUAAUAUUUUUUCUCUUCUAAACAGCCUCUUAUAAAAAGUAAUCAGUUUCUCGAAUCUAUGAGUAGUGAUGCAGAGCCGUUCUUAGUUUGUGGAGUGAUGGUGUUAAUUCCGAUAACGUACGAGAAUCAAAUAUAUUGAAUAGAUGCUUUCGAGAUUAUGGUGUUGAAGAUUUUACGGUCGUCAUUUACAAGCACAAUAAAAUGUAUAAGUGUUUGAGUGUGUUUAUAGAAGUGGAGCCUAAUACCUACCUGAUAGUUUGCCCUUUUAGAGGACAUUAAAUUCUUAAAUAGACAAAUUGAGUCCAGCAAUAAUAAGAUUGAGCAAAAACAGGUAUGUGGCGCCCCUAGAUCACCUGGGCGGUAUGCGCGCUAUCAAGGUAUAUUUACUAGACCGAGAGGUUCGAGUAAACCGCUGAAACGCUUCCAUGCUUAGAAUUGUGAACUGAAACUGCUGUCAUGAACUUGGAAUUCCUAAUAAAUGUGGGUCAUUAACUCGCUUUGAUUAC
rnacentral:ncRNA from 1 species